AGGCCCAUGAUGUAAUUGGUAGCAUGAGGGUCUCCAAAACCCUUCGUCAAGGUUCAAGUCCUUGUGGGCCUG
rnacentral:tRNA from 1 species